AGUGAACGCUGGCGGCAGGCCUAACACAUGCAAGUCGAACGGCAGCACAGUCGGGGCAACCCGAUGGGUGGCGAGUGGCGGACGGGUGAGGAAUACAUCGGAAUCUACCUUGUCGUGGGGGAUAACGUAGGGAAACUUACGCUAAUACCGCAUACGACCUACGGGUGAAAGCGGCGGACCGCAAGGCGUCGCGCGAUUGGAUGAGCCGAUGUCCGAUUAGCUAGUUGGCGGGGUAAAGGCCCACCAAGGCGACGAUCGGUAGCUGGUCUGAGAGGAUGAUCAGCCACACUGGAACUGAGACACGGUCCAGACGCCUACGGGAGGCGGCAGUGGGGAAUAUUGGACAAUGGGCGCAAGCCUGAUCCAGCCAUGCCGCGUGUGUGAAGAAGGCCUUCGGGUUGUAAAGCACUUUUGUUCGGGAAGAAAAGCGCUCGGUUAAUACCCGGGUGUUCUGACGGUACCGAAAGAAUAAGCACCGGCUAACUUCGUGCCAGCCGCCGCCGUAAUAC
rnacentral:rRNA from 1 species